UCUCACCACAGCGGGGCUGUCGCAUGGCACCUCCCCCCGCCCGGCGCACCCCGCCCGGCCUGCUCCCCCGCCCUCCCCUCUGAGCGCGCGCACACACCUCCCACCGCUUUGCCCAAAUUAUUUUCGAUCCCGGGAGACUCCGGAUGCCAGACGCGCUCGGCGGCGGCGGCGGCGGCGGUGGCGGCGGCGACGGCCGCCGCGCCUGAUUCAUUGCGCCAAAGCUGCAGAUGCGACCUCCCGCCUGCGCCCGGUGCCCCGGCCCGCGCCGGGCUGCGCGCGGGCCUAGGGAGACUGGGGGAGGGGGCAAUUUAUAGGUGCUUUCCCCUCCCCACAAAAGACGGGCUCUAGACCCCCGGGGCCAGGUCCCCUGUCUCCAGCUCCCUGGGCUGCGCUAAUUAGCUUCCUCCGGGGGCGCCACGCGGUGUGAGGGGCGGCAUUUCCCGGCUGGGCUGCGGGGGAAGCGCUCCUGCCGCCUGGGAAGUGCACGGUCUCCAUGGCAACCGCGGAGGAGGUCACGGUAGCUGGGCCCCCGCGCGUCACCCCGCGCCUCGCCGGCUGCAGGCGCCCGGAUUGCGGCCUCCCAGGCGCCGUGGCCCGCGUGGACUCAGCUCUGAGUUCUCCGCCCCCGCUCCGCCCUGCAGAAGGCUGCGGUCCCGGCCAUAUGACUGUGCCCGGUCCCAACCGGGAAUAUCGCACCUGGGUACCAGUGCACUAAACUAUGCCUCUGUCCCCGGGCUUCAGCACGCGGGACUGCGCCACGAAACACGUGCCCAACCCCAAGAUGGGAACAUGUGCGACAAGACGCCGCAGAAAGGCUCUCUGCACUUCUGGAUGCCCUAGGGAAUCGACCUAUACUGGCGCGCGACUCUAGAGCUCUUGCCAAGACCACCCGUAGCUAAGUAGGCUGGCUCUGGCGUCAGAGCCGAGUCUUGCCCUGGCAGCUUAUUAGCUCUGACUUUAGCAACGUCACAGUCUUUCUGCGCCUCAGUUUACUUGUCACCAAAAUGGAACUGAUAUUUAAAUUGAUUCAAAGUAUGUUUAACGCUCAACACAGUGUUUGACAAGUGCUUAUGAA